CUUCAGUCCGCGGGCCAAUGCUCUAUCCACUGAGCCAAACCAGCUAGGAUGAGAGCUGCAUUUUUUGAAGGAAAGGAAACAAAGAGGAGGCAUGGAGACAAACAUACCACACUCCAUCCCGGACAAAGCAAGCCCCCUGGGCUGAUUAUGGAAAGUACAUAGGAAGGGAGGAGAGAUGACUGCGUCCUUGUUAGUUCUCAAGUUGUCUCUUGAGUAUCAGUCACAGCCAUGGGACAAGCAUCAGCUUGAGAAGAAGAAAGAGAAGAUUCCCGUCAGAUCAUCGGAUGAAGCCACAGGAUGGGGAAGACCUGUCCUUGUGGGAUGGACGCACUGAAACGCAGGCACGGGAAAUGCGAGGAUUAUCUCGCAUCCACAAAGGGACGUGUGAUCUUAGU